rnacentral:rRNA from 1 species
CCUACGGGCGGCAGCAGUGGGGAAUAUUGCACAAUGGGCGCAAGCCUGAUGCAGCCAUGCCGCGUGUGUGAAGAAGGCCUUCGGGUUGUAAAGCACUUUCAGCGGGGAGGAAGGCGGUGAGGUUAAUAACCUCAUCGAUUGACGUUACCCGCAGAAGAAGCACCGGCUAACUCCGUGCCAGCAGCCGCGGUAAUACGGAGGGUGCAAGCGUUAAUCGGAAUUACUGGGCGUAAAGCGCACGCAGGCGGUCUGUCAAGUCGGAUGUGAAAUCCCCGGGCUCAACCUGGGAACUGCAUUCGAAACUGGCAGGCUAGAGGCUUGUAGAGGGGGGUAGAAUUCCAGGUGUAGCGGUGAAAUGCGUAGAGAUCUGGAGGAAUACCGGUGGCGAAGGCGGCCCCCUGGACAAAGACUGACGCUCAGGCGCGAAAGCGUGGGGAGCAAACAGGAUUAGAUACCCGAGUAGUC